GACGAACGCUGGCGGCGUGCUUAACACAUGCAAGUCGAGCGGAGCGGCGAACGGGUGAGUAACGCGUGAGUACCUGCCCCCCUCUCUGGGAUAACAGUUGGAAACGGCUGCUAAUACCGGAUCGUGGGGGGUGACUCGCUUCCUAUCGGCUUGUUGGUGGGGUAGGGGCCUAGCAAGGCGACGACGGGUAGCCGGCCUGAGAGGGCGACCGGCCACAUGGGGCUGGGGUACGGGCCGAACUGCUAGGGGAGGCAGCAGGGGGGAAUAUUGCAGAGUGGGGGAAACCCUGAUGCAGCAACGCCGCGUGCGGGAUGUGGUCCUUCGGGUUGUAAACCGCUUUCGGCGAUGACGCGGUAGUGGCAGAAGAAGCACCGGCUAACUACGAGCCAGCAGCCGCGGUAAUUC
rnacentral:rRNA from 1 species